rnacentral:misc_RNA from 1 species
UGAGAAAUAAGUACAAAUUCAUUCACUCCAAUAACAGCAAGUAAUCCAAGAACACAAGGACUACCUAUAGAAUUGUGGAAAAGUAGGGUGAGAGAACCAGAAAGGUCAGUUUCUCUAACCUUAAGGUUUGAACCACUAACAUUUUUCUAAAAAUAUUCAUGGGUAGACAGACAGACACUGUUUCAUUUUGCAAUCAAGAAUAACUCCACCUACCUCAACACUUCUAACCUCUAGUUCCCCUGUAUGAAUUAUCUUUUUAGCGUACCCCAUUCCACCAGAAAUUGUCCCCCAAAAUCGUAAUUGUGCACAAAGUUAAAUCCCUUAUACACAACCUAAGCAAGAGUAUAAAAGCUGAAAAUUAAAUAUAGCCUCAAAAUUGCUCUUCUAUGCUCACUUGCUGUCGGUGAAAUCAGCAUCAAUUACGUCAUUUCCAUCAGGUCCCUUCCCAGAUGAUGAUUCUGAAGGUCCAUCAGCACCGCCAGGUGCUGGACCAGCACCUGGUGCAGCACCAGGCUGGUUGUAGAGUGACUGACCAAGCUGCAUUACUUCUUGGUUAAGGGCAGCCAUAGCAUCCUUCAUGGUCUGAGUUGACCCUCCUGAGAUUGCUUCUUUAAGCUCUCCAAGUUUAGCCUCAACCUUUUCUUUCACUGGCCCUGGUACUUUGUCUCCAAGUUCCUUCAACUGCUUCUCUGUCUGGUAGACAACAGAAUCGGCCUGGUUCUUUGUGUCUAUGGCGUCUCUCUUCUCUUUGUCUUCCUGGGCAAAUCUUUCAGCUUCUUUAACCAUUCUCUCGACCUCAUCACCAGGCAAUGUGCUGGCACCUGUAAUGGUGAUGUCUUGCUUCUUCCCAGUACCCUUGUCAAUAGCAGUCACGGAAAGAAUACCAUUGGCAUCAAUGUCA